rnacentral:rRNA from 1 species
UACAGAGGUCUCAAGCGUUGUUCGGAUUCAUUGGGCGUAAAGGGUGCGUAGGCGGCGCGGUAAGUCGGGUGUGAAAUCUCGGAGCUUAACUCCGAAACUGCAUUCGAUACUGCCGUGCUUGAGGACUGGAGAGGAGACUGGAAUUUACGGUGUAGCGGUGAAAUGCGUAGAUAUCGAUAAGGAAGACCAGUGGCGAAGGCGGGUCU